rnacentral:piRNA from 1 species
GCGCGUGACAGUUACGGGAAGAAUGC